rnacentral:rRNA from 1 species
GAAGUCGCCGGGAGCCUGAGGGCAGGCGCCGAGGGUAGGGCCCGUGACUGGGGCGAAGUCGUAACAAGGUAGCUGUACCGGAAGGUGCGGCUGGAUCACCUCCUUUCUAAGGAGCA